rnacentral:lncRNA from 1 species
CCCAGGAAUUUCCAUAUGCCACAAGUGUGGCCCUAAAAAAGCAAAAAUAAAUAAAUAAAUAAAUGAAAAUAAAAAGGAGGCAGGAUAAUGGAUAAUAAACUUUUCUGGAGAAAAAAGUUCCCCAACAUGAACAGUACACUACUAGGUAACAAAAUCAAGAAUUUUUAGCCUGCAAAGUAUGAGACUCCUGAGUAUGUGGCUGGACAAUGGGCUGUACAAUUAAGUCUGGCCUAAAACAAACUAGUCUUACCCUGGGAAUGUGGAUCCCUAACAUAUUCUGGAUUAAGAGUUGUAAACUGUAAUUAUAACAAACCUCCUCCAUACAUAACAACUGUUAAGAGAAACAAUGCGUAGUUCAAAUUUUGUAUAUCUUUCUUUUCUUUUCUUUUUUUUUUUUCUUUUCUAGGACCGCGCCCACAGCAUAUGGAGGGUCCCAGGUGUAGCCCUCAAAAGAAAAAAAAACUUACUUGGAUCCCUUUUAAAAACAAUGUGACCUACAAGUUUCAAAAACUAUCACAUAUUACUUUCUGCCUUUCAAAAUGCUUCCUUUAGGGACAAAGUAGAUUAGACAUACAGUUUCCCUGAUGUAAUCAUGUUUCAGAUACGUAUACUGUAGCCCCAUGAGGGCUGCACUAGCAUUGUGAUUUCUAGGCCACCAAAUCAGAAGCAUAUAAGGAACCUGAAAAAGAAUUCUAGUAACCCCUGCUCUCCAAUCUUAAUUGAGAAUCUCUGUGUGAGGGACUGGGAAUCCGCAUUAAACAGCCAAGUACAAUUGUGUACUUAGUUCUCAUAUUUUAAGGAGAAAUUUUAAGUUAGCACAUAAACCAUAAAGAAUUUUGGUAUUAAAAUAUAUCUUAAAUUUAUAAUUCAUCAGAUGAAAACUUACUUUGUGAUGGCUUCCUGUAACUUAGUGCCCUCUCUGAUGAAAGUUUUUCCAAAACUGAAAACUUUGUAGGACUGAAAUUCAGGGGUAGUUUCACAAACACCAGAUAUAGUCUGAUUCUUCCCUAAACUUAUGUCAGUAUUAUGGUUUAAUGAAAUCUCAUUUUCUUAAAAUUUAUUAGGCAUUCUUUGGUGAAAUCCAACUAGUCAACACAUUGUUGUCCAAAGCAGGUUAUCUACAGUACUGGUUUGUUGGCUUUAGCUCUCAGCUAAAGUAUAGAAAUAGGUAUUCAAACAAACCAAUCAAGUACAAAUACACAUAUAACCUAAAUGGACCACAGAGUUUCAACUUUUCUUUCCUUACUGCUUAGUAUGAAAAGAAAAUUAUCAAUGUCCAUAUUAAUUAUUCUGCAAUCCACAGCACAAAUUUGUGGCUACAGCCACAAUGUACACAGUAGCAAUUUAGACUUAAAUUACAUAGCAUGAAAAAUUCAGUUUUGUCACAAAAGCCAUAUUUCCAAGGCUCAACAGUAACAUAUGUUAGUAGUGACUACCAUAUUAGACAGCAUAGCUAUAGAACAUUUCCAUCAUCAGAGUUAUACUGGCCAGUGCUAAUCUAGAGCACUACCAAACAUACAAAAGAACUGUUUGAGAGACCAACCUAUCAAACCUUAUAAAGACAUCUACAUGUCACUCACUGCAUUUUAUUUAGGGUUGGCUAGACAUCAAGGACUAUACUAGGUGCUUAGGUACAAGACUCAACAAGAACCUGUGCCCUCAAGAAGCUCCAAAUAGUUAGGAGAAUUUAAGCAAGCAAUGACAACAACCUGAUAAGUGCUAUGAUUCAACCUGCUAUGGGAUCAGGAGAAAGCAAUACUAACUUUUUUAUGGGGGAUUCUGGCUUAAAGGAUGACAGAUCACAGAGAUAUUUCAGUCUUCAUGCUCUUUACUUGAAGGGUAAGGACUAUGGAGGGUAGCAUUCCAGAGGGAACCACCCUACAGAGAUCUGAUAAUGUUACUUUGAUUUCGGUAAAUAGCAAUCAACUCAGUGUGACUUGAGCAGAGAAGUACUUUUUGUAGGCAUGUGUGGAAAAUUGUGCAAAGAAAAAGGUGUUGAGAAAAGAUAAGGUUAGUCCACUGAGGGAACUCCUUUUUCACAUUUGUGAUGAUAGAAUGCAUUGUUUAAGUAGUUAGGAGCCAGUAAUGGAGUUGUGUCAGUUAUUUUCAUGCUUUAUCUUAAUUUUAGGACAACUGUCCCAGCAACACCUAAGAUUUAUCAGAUACUGGAGACAGAGACACUAGUUUGGAAGCUAUUAGCAUUACGGCAACUGAGCUCAGUUACUAACUAAUGAAAAUACAAACAGAUUUAUUGAAAAGUAUUCAAAAGACAUAAAGGGGAGUAUUGCUGAACCUCAGGUCCAAUCGCAGUGGUAGUCAAGAUCAUCUGACUGUGAAUAGGGUCAGGAGUAAAAUCCCAGCUUAAGAAAAAGAAAAAAAUGAAAAUCAAGGUAAAUAUUCACGAACAUCAGUAAAUGAGGAAUAAAUGCACUGUUGGGCCUAUGCUCAAGAUGGGUAGUGUUAAUUGGUGGUGGAACUUAUCUGAUUUCAUGACUUGCUGGCUACCUAAAACAGGUGAGGAGAAAGCCAAUGGGACUGGGACUGGAUGAGCAAGUACAACAAACAAAAUGGGCUUAAAGUAUGAGUGAGAGUUAUCUGACCGUAAGGAUGCAAGUGAGGGGGCCUAAGGUUUGGAGAUUAAUAUUUAAUCUCAGAUGCUAUACUUUGGUGGUGUAGCAAAAGUCUACAAAUGGGAUGACUGUAAAACUCAGUAGAUCCGUGCUUUUUAACCUAUCUCCCUUCAUCAGGAAAUUGCGACACAAAGAUCUUUAGUAAUAACACGCAGUCUCAAUGCAUAAAAUCAGGCUUAGGUGUUGCCUGGACUCAUUUCCCAUCUCCACCCCACUAUAAUUAUUUUGUGACACAAACUCAAGACUGUGGGAAUAUAGAGAAAUUGGGCUCGUCCUCGUACACCUGCUCAAUCCCCUGCAGGACAACGCCCAAGAAUCAGGUUAAGCCAGGGCAAAAGAAUCCCGCCCAUAAUCGAGAAGGAGCAAACUGACAUGGAGGCGAUGACGAGAUCGCGGGGGAGGGAGGGAUUUUUCUAGGCCCAGGGCGGUCCUUAGGAAAAGGAGGCAGCAGAGAACUCCCAUAAAGGUAUUGCGGCACUCCCCUCCCCCUGCGGAGAAGGGUGCGGCCUUCUCUCCGCCUCCUCCACUGCAGCUCCCUCAGGAUUGCAGCUCGCGCGGGUUUUUGGAGAACAUGCGCCUCCCACCCACAAGCCAGCAGGACCGACCCCCCACUCCUUCCUCCACCCCCCACCCCCACGGGUCCGAGAGCAGGUAGAGAGCUAGUCUCGUCCUUCAGGCGGCGGACGCCCAGGGCGGAGCCGCAGUCACCACCACCCAGAAGCCUCGGCCCGGCAGCCCGCCCCCGCCUCCUGCGCGCGCUUCCUGCCACGUUGCGCAGGGGCGAGGGGCCAGACACUGCGGCGCUGGCCUCGGGGAGGGCCGUACCAAAGACCGCCUCCCUGCCGACUCGCGUAGUGGUUUCGCUCAUUUGGGACCCAAGCCAAUAACAAGGGGCCGUUCCCAGGACUUCAGCAGCCAAUCAGAUACCAAAGCCGAGCAGGCGGCGGGUAAACCGACUCCCCCGGAGGGGAGGGUGGCAGGACGCCCGCGCGGGAGCCACUUUCACUGACCCUCCCCUCCCCCCGCAGGAGGCCGACAGCGCCCGCCUGUGCAGCUCUCUCCACCCCACCUACCUACCCACCCAGGGGGCAAUGCGAGAGUUCCUGGGAGGCUGCGCACUCCCGAGGCUGUAACUGACAGGAGCUUUACUCCAACCAAAACACGCCAUUUGUGUUUUCACACACGGCGGGAGGAGAAGCGGCCAAUCAGUGACAAGAGAAGAGCAGGAAGCGCUCCUCCCUCUGCGGGAGCAAUGGCUCCGUCCGUAUUCCAGGCUUUUCCGCUCCCUUCUCCCUCCCCCUCCGGUUGCCGCAGGGCGGGCCGCACUCCCGCCUGCCUCUCACCACCUCUUCCCCUUCCAGCGUAACAAACGAUAUGCUCCCGACUUCCCGCUAGGGAAGGCGACCCCCGCUACCGGUCAGACCACCUCAAGCACCCAUCCCCCGCCAAACCGCCGGCCCUCCCCCAAACCAGAGUCCCGCUCCCCUACCUAGCCGAGGCUCUCUGAGGAGCCGGAGCCCCAGAGCACAGCCUCUUCUCU